rnacentral:rRNA from 1 species
UACGUAGGGUGCGAGCGUUGUCCGGAAUUAUUGGGCGUAAAGGGCUCGUAGGCGGUUUGUCGCGUCGGGAGUGAAACCUCGGGCUUAACUCGGGGCUUGCUUUCGAUACGGGCAGACUAGAGGUAUGCAGGGGAGAACGGAAUUCCUGGUGUAGCGGUGAAAUGCGUAGAUAUCGGAAGGAACACCAGUGGCGAAGGCGGCUUCCUGGACUAAUACUGACGCUGAGGUGCGAAAGCGUGGGGAGCAAACAGGG